GAUUGGUUGAGGAAGGACCUCUCUGUCAUUGGCUUUGGCCUCAUUGGUUGGUUGGCACCGUCCAGCCUGCCAGUCAUCAAUGGCAACAGCUUGACAGGCCUCUUCUUGGGCAGCAUCGGACCCGAGCUGGCUCACUUCCCUACAGGCCCAGCCCUUACAUCGCCAUUCUGGUACGUUCACAAUUCAACAUCUGUGUAUUCAGUGUUAUCAGACUCAGAGAGACCUUAAUGUUGUAUCGCGGAGUUUGCAGACUUUGUCUAUGGAGAAACGUGGGUUUCAGAUGAUUGUAGUGUUGAUCUAAAAUGUGGUGCUCUUGAACCAGGUUGUGGAUGGUCACAUGGCACGUGGGUUUGUUCAUCGUGUUGACUCUUGGCCAGAUCGGGUUCAAAGGCCGCCAGGACGGCUACUGGUGAGUGAGGGCAAUCAACAUUACCUGAGAUGUGUGCGAAAGUUCUCAUGGGUUCCGUAGUGGCAUGCUGGGAAGAUCGAGAAUAACUGUGGAUGGGGGACUCGUUACUAAUGUGUUGUGUUGUGCAGGAGCUAAGCCUACAGUGGUGCCCAGUUGAUAGAGAUGCAGACGCAGCGCAGUGGAAGUGGAUUAGAAUCGCUGUACCAUUAAAUACUGUAAACAAGGAAAUUCGUAGCGCAACUCAUGUCCAUUCGUUGUUUAUAAGAACAGUUGAAUGUUCUUGAUGUAUGUACUGUGCUGUGUUGGAAAUGUCACGACGCACACGACUGUCAAUCCACUAAUAAUCAUCAAAGAACACAUUUCCUUACGAAAUUCUCUGGCGACCUUAACUUUUUAAUGCAAAGUCCUUAGUUGCAAGAUACGAUGAUUAAGAUGGGUGAAUGUAAGCUCUAGCGUUUCGUGUAAAUUCUUGCACAAAGCAGUGCUGUGACCAAAGCAUAAUGUCUCUGAACCUGGUGGUGUCAAGGGCCUGACCUGAUUGGCCUUGACAAAAUGAACAAUGAAUAAUCUUACUCAUUUCCCAGUUGUAUCACUCGUGGAAAUUCGCAGUUGAUAAGUGUACAUUGUUUCCCAGCUGAUCUUCCCCCUCGCUGUCCUAAGUUCUUUCCUAAUAAUAAGUCUGGAAUUAUACAAAUAGGAGUCCGGUUAUUACGUAACAUCUGUCAUCUGCUAGACAAACAAUUCACAGUCGGGAGCCUCAUAAUGGAUAAGUGCACUUCUUCGAAUCGGAAUUUUGUCUGCUUAUCUCGAUAACAAUUAUCAUUACUAUGAGUUAUCACUCAGUAGUGGACGGGGUUUGUGACAACUAGGUCUUAUCAUGUAGAAUUGAAGGUAAAGCUUCAUCAAUGUCAGACAACGGAACAUGUUGCUGAAAGCUAUAAGAAAGCGAUGUUCUGUACUCUGAAACCGUUCGCACUUGUCCACUAAAAAUGGUGUCUGGUUUUUACGGAAGUUAAAAUGACUCGAGACUUUCGAAGGAUUUGAAUUACCUUUGAAUUCUAUUUCACGUAGUCUAUUGUUUGCUGGACAUAGUCUAGGAAUCAUGUCCAUGAAAAUUAAGCAAAGUGGAAUUUUUAAUAAAUUUUCGUACUAUUUUAUUUUAGUGUGCACUGGUAUUUCGCUGGUACAAAUUAAAACUUUGAAAGCAAUUUCAGGGGGACUUGAUGGGUUUGUAAAUAUGUUAUUGUGUUUUUACACUGUAUGUAUACCCCAAAAAAAUGUAUAUCCAUGUAUCUAUAGUUUUAUAUACACGAACGAAUAAAAUAUUUUGUUGUUUACACCCAUUUGAAUAUUUCAUGACGAGUUCGAUUGUGACAUAUUAUUCUUAACAUGAAUUACAAUCUAAGAACACAUCGUUUCAUGCAGGACCCGCUUUGAAGACAUUCCUCCUAAAGAAAGCAGAAGAUUUAAGAUAAACGCAACUUCAAACCAUGUUAACUAACAACUAGUUAAAAACCAUGUAAACCAUGUUGAAGACCAUGUUAAAACCAUGUUAACUCACAACUAGUUCCAUGAUAGUGGCUGAUUAUGAUCAUUCUGAUUAAUCUGAUUAUUACUUUAAAUAGUAAGAUUGUGGCAUUUGAGAAUGCGUUAUAUGAAUUUCACCAACACAGGUCUUCCAUCUAUUUCAUGUUAUCAUGCAUGUUGUUAGAACAUUACAGUAUUGCAUGAUUGAAAGGGUCUCAUGGCCACACUCGACGGUAGAAUUCCAGUCAAUCAUACGUUCUGCUAUUUGCACAGUAAACGAAAUAGGUCAUUCUUGCACCACAAUUUGCAGCAAAGUUGUAGUUCCCAGCCUCUCAAAAAGCAGAAACAAAGACAAAUCAAUAACACAACAUCAUCCGAACUGAACCCAAUUUGUGAUAUGCAUGUUUUAUCUGACGCAGGCAGAACGAUCACUUCGGUUCUGCUGGAACUCGCAUGCUGCGUUGUCUCGUUGUGGCAGUCCAGCGGAUUGCGGGGUUGCAUUAGCCAAAGCCGGAGGAUCCCAGAAGGCGAAGGGUGCUGCUGCGGAGCGACCCUUAUCCGGAGCAAACCGUGGCAACCAAUCACACCUCAUCUCCUCCGUCUCGCUGUUCUCUCCCAUCAUCCCAGCACCCUAGCGCUCCAUACUUGUAAGCGUGCCUUCGCUAGCUCUCCAGCAUCCGCCAACGCCCAUCUACGAAGCUGUGUUGACGCGCUGUGCAACAUCUUUCUAUUCAACGUAAGUUUAUUCUCCAAGAGCUCGUUCCCUUCAAAUUGCUUGGUAGGUGGUCUUGAGUUAUUGCCCUAGGUCCUGUGUCUCUGCUUUCUGAGGGUGUGACAGCUUUUUGCUGAUCUAUUGGCCAUGGUGGCCUUGAUGGGUAGCUUUCCAAUCGGGAGUAGUAAUGUUUUCCUCGUUGCUUCGGUUGGUUAUAACUAGUUACCUCAGCAUUUCCUCAGAUGCGUUUUAUUCUAUUUCAUGGUUAUCGCUGUAGAUGUUUCUUGUUGGAUUAGCAGGUACCGUUAAACUAGGAGCGUUUGCUGUCUGUGCAGCUCUUACGUUCCUGCAUUUCGUCUGUUAAGUGUAUUUAGCAUCAGAACUAUGCUUGAAUUUGCUAUGGUCUUGCUCUCUUCAAUUGGCUCGCUUCUUCUAGGCUUAGUCUCACGUGCCGAGUGCAGUGAUUUCGAAUUGAUCUGAAAUGCGUGUCGGUUCAAGAUGGGUGGAUGAUGAGCAAUCACGCUGACUUCCUGUGAUAUGCGCAGUCGUCGACAUGGCAAUGACUGCUACUUCAAUGGCCAUGCCUGCCGUUGCCGGUCUAGGAAGCUCUUCCAUCUUGGCUAGGAGAUCCCCGAAGUUGCAGCUGACCUCAGGUGUGUUGCUUUCUGGUCUCAUUAAUCCCAUAAGUCCCCAGUUCUCACUUAAAUUUAUGUUUGCAAUUGAUACGACAGAGAAUGUAUCCCUGAAUCUUUCCAAUCCACGAGAAUAACUGAUGCGAGUACGAUUUAUGUGAAUGCAGCGUUCGUCGGUGGAGCCAUCAAAGUGAACAAGCCCCUCUGCAUGUCUCGCGUCACCUGGUGUGUACACUAUACUAAAAAAAGAUUUCCUGUAAUUUUGCAAUGCUGAUUGUAGGCAUGUACUAGUGCCCGCAACACAGUUGCAUGCUACCAAGUGGAGAUAAUACAAACCCAUCUGAUGUAAUUCUGCUGAGUGAGUUCUGUCAAUAUGACCGUUCUCUCUGAUCGAUGCCCUGGGUUGGAUUUCUUAGUCUGAUAAAUAUCUGUACAAUCCUUCAAUAUCAUGUCACAUUACCCUCUGGCCCUCUGUCCUACUCCUGUAUUACUCCGUGCGUUCACUGACAUUGUUAUUAGGUCCAUUGUCAUUUACCGUACUGGUUGGGGUGCGCAGCUUCAACAGGGACUGGUUGAGGAAGGACCUCUCCGUCAUUGGCUUCGGUCUCAUUGGUUGGUUGGCACCAUCCAGCUUGCCAGUCAUCAACGGCAACAGCUUGACAGGCCUCUUCUUGGGCAGCAUCGGACCCGAGCUGGCUCACUUCCCUACCGGCCCAGCCCUAACAUCCCCAUUCUGGUACCCCCUCAAUCAUACGUCAAUUGUGAGUAGUAGAGAGUGUGGUGGUUACUGUGGAGUAACAUUGCAGUCUAGAGAAGAGUUCAGGCUGUGUUAUCAGAGACAUCAAGUUUGCAAUUAAUAGUGCAGUUUGGGACUAAUGUGUAUCUUUUUUUGUAUCAGGUUGUGGAUGAUCACAUGGCACGUGGGAUUGUUCAUUGUGUUGACCCUUGGUCAGAUCGGGUUCAAGGGCCGCCAGGAUGGCUACUGGUGAGUGUGGGAUAAUAGCACUGCACGAAAUUCAUGGACCUGAGGGUGUAGUGAGCAUGUACUGUUUAGAGCAACAAUAGUUAUGAAUGACAAAUCUGUUUUGUCCUGCGAGAAACAUUAAGACGUAGAGUGUGUGGGGAACGUGUCACUUAUAUGUGUGGUGGUCGAUUGCAGGAACUAAGCGUGCGGUGAUGCCCUGAUGAUUGCGUUGCAGUCGUAGUGCUGAUGAGGCAGAUUAGAAUCGCUGUACUUUAAAAAGUUGUAAACAAGAAAAUUUAUAGCACCACCAAUGUUCAUCUUGAUGUUUUUAAAACCAGUCGAACGUCGAUGACUGUGCCAUGAAUUCUGUUGAUGCGGUUACUGGUUUGUUUUGCAAUGCCCUGAAAAAGUCGCUUCUUCCAGAGAAUGUUUUGUGCAUUCAUAUUGCAGCAAACAUUGCCUGUUGGUGAAUUGUCAGUCGCUAUAUAUAACCCUACUGCGUAUCAUUUUUUUCGUUUUCUUACAUAUCAUUCUGAACCGAACUUCUAAGAACUUCAAAAUCCUGGAACUUAUGAAAUAACCUUUCAAUUAAUGCCAGCCCCGCUCAUGCACAUUAAAAUUUGCGCAAAUGACAUGUUUUUUAACCUCUUGAAUAAAUUUUCAAUCAGCACUCAUACGCAUCCAUCUGUUCAUGUAAUUACAAUAAAAGAUAGAACUUCUAUUUUACCGAAAUUUAUUCAAUACUAGUAGAACAAAUAAACACUAUUCACCGAAAAUAUAACACUGUCGAAGAUGGAAAAUUGCUCGAAAAUAAAAAAAAGGCAGACAAUACUUUCAUUUGAACAUUUGAAAUCUUUAUUUAAAAUAACGCCAAUAUCUUUUCCAGCACACAUGUUCUGUUCUGAAGACAAAGACCAAUGCGCUUUCACAAAUAUUCGUAGACAAACAAUUGUGCAACUUUUCAAUUUAGUACAGAAUACUUCAUCAUCAUCUUGUACUUUCAUCUUCAUACUACUUGCUUUCUGCUUGUUUGUCUUACUACCUUAGAAAAAAUUAAAAAACACUCUACUUAAUAGAAAAUAUUUGUUUGUAAAUUUCAC
rnacentral:lncRNA from 1 species